CUUACCAGUGCGGAUGCACACUGUUCUCUUACAGAGACCAACACUUUAACUCGUUUAUUACUCAUGAGUCUGAGAAGGGCUAAGUCAGACAGCAUCCUGACAGAGACUCAUGAAAGAGCUUUCUCUGCGCAUAGUACUGAAUGCGGCUGACGGUUCUCUUCUGAAUACAUCUGCACUAACCGAGACCAGCUGGCAAGGCACAGCUGGGCUAGUCAUGAGCGCACAGCUUUUGCUCUUAGAAACAGUAGACGAAGACAACCCACGGCUGUAAAACUUUCCCCCUCUGAGAAGCAGCUUCCCAGCCGUAGCCUAUCUUGAAAGCACCCAAAGAAAAGCUGCGUGUGGCGUGGGCGUUUCCAGACUUGCGGCACAGCGGGGACAGGGAUUUAUUGACCUAUGUGUGCUCCCUUCAGAGUCAGCAGCUCAUGCUCCAAACGGGAGUGGCCUGGACAGUGGUGACUGUAGCUCGGGUCAAGUUGAGAAAACCAACAGGGACAGGUGGUAAAGCUGAAAUCUACUGCCACUGUCCCUCCUCACUGUCAAGUCUGAGGUGAAUGUGCACUUCCAUCGAUGGCCUCUCCAUGUGCACAUAGCACCAACAUCUAAGUGAGCCAAGUGGCCAACAGAGGCAGACAUGAUGUCUUAAGCCCCAUGAAUUCCUACAGAACUCUGUGUGCAUACAAGCAGCCUGAUGAGAAACGGAACAUUGAAGCUUCCUAAAUAAAAGAUCUUCUCUGCUCCUCCUGGUCAACACCACAACCCACCUUUGUGACUUUCAAGAAGAAUGGCCAUAACUUCUCUCCUCCUUCCAGUAAUCAGUGAGGGGAGAAAGCCCCGCCCACCCUGCACCGGACAUACAUUGUGAAAAUCGGGAAGUGGAUGGAGUGAGUGAGAUGGCUCAGCGGGGAGACAUAUUUGGCACGAAGCCUAAGGAUCUGAGUUCAAUCCUUGGAGUCCACAUGGCAUAAGAUGAAGAUUUAAAGAUAACCUGAUGAAAUAUUGCAAUGGGAAGACUCUCGAGUCGGUAUGUGUCCAAGGCUGCAGCAGGCAUCCUCGCAGGCUGUGCACAGCUUGGAGGCAUCAUAUUUAGAGGGUGGGAAAUGAACAUCACAGACAAGGAAAACCUAAAUAUUUCUUGGGAUAGUAUGACAGGUGCUGAAAGGUGACAGACUAUACAGGAAGAAUAACUUCAAGAUUCAUGGAGAUGACCAUGUGGUCCCUCAACAACAGUGACAUCACUAAAAAAUAAAAAUAAAUUAGAGUGUCUUAAUUAA